rnacentral:misc_RNA from 1 species
AAGUCGUAACAAGGUUUCCGUAGGUGAACCUGCGGAAGGAUCAUUAACAGAAAAGAGGGGCGAGUGCAUCAUUGCUCUCUCUCUCAUUUAUCCCUGUGAUAUGUGUAUUUACUAUGUGUGUGUGUGUGUGUAUGUGUGUGUGCUUAAAUGUGGGUACACACGCCGCAUACAUGCUUCUUUUUUUACUCUGUUUUUAUUCUUAUGUGUGUAUCUUGUGUACCUUCGUGGUACAAAUCAAAAUCGAAAACUGCCAGCAAUGGAUCACUCGGUUCUC